rnacentral:rRNA from 1 species
CCCCUAAGUGGUGACUCAGUGGGAAAGGAUGUGGAGUUGCGUAGACAACCAGGAGGUUGGCUUGGAAGCAGCCAUCCUUGAAAGAGUGCGUAAUAGCUCACUGGUCAAGUGAUUCCGCGCCGAUAAUGUAGCGGGGCUUAAGUUAUCCGCCGAAGCUGUGGCAACCUGUGUGGUUGGGUAGGGGAGCGUCGUGUCAGUGGUGAAGCUGCCGGGUGACUGUGUGGUGGAGUUGAUGCGAGUGAGAAUGCAGGCAUGAGUAGCGUGUGACGGGUGGGAAUCCCGUCCGCCGAUUAUCCAAGGGUUCCAGGGUCAAGUUUGUCUGCCCUGGGUGAGUCGGGUCCUAAGGCGAGGCCGACAGGCGUAGUCGAUGGGUAACCAGUUGAUAUUCUGGUACCGGCUUGUCACCGUCCGUGUCGAGGUGUGUGAUGCUAAGCAUGUGAGCUUGUCUUGGGAGUGUUUUUGAUGCUUCUGGGGUGGGUGAGUGUGUGAACCGAUCAUGUAGUAGGCAAGCUGCGGAGGGACGCAGUGAGGUAGCUCAUCCCCGGUGAUGGUUGUCCGGGGCUAAGUGUGUGGACUGUCUGGUAGGUAAAUCCGCUGGGCGUGAAGGUUGAGGCAUGAUGGGGAGCCCACGGUUGUGGGUGAGUGAGUGAUCCUGUACUGUCGAGAAAAGCUUCGUGAGCGAGGUGGCGGGUCCGCCCGUACCCUAAACCGACACUGGUGGAUAGGUAGAGUAUACCGAGGCGAUCGAGUGAAUCGUGGUGAAGGAACUCGGCAAAAUGCCCCCGUAACUUUGGGAUAAGGGGGACCUGAGCUGUCGUGCACCCGUGCGGUGUGGUGGCGGUGAGGGGCGCAGAGUCCAGG